AACAGAAACAUUUAUGUUGUGUUAUUUCCCAGUUCUACAACGCUAUUACAUUUGUCAUUCUGUCUCCCUUUUUCCCCCCUUAUUCUUCUAUACAUGUAAACAGUCUGAGGAACAGUACAUUCAUGGUCAGUCCUUUUUAAAGGACUUAAUGAAUUUAUUACUUUUUGCAAAAGAUAUACCCAAUGCUUAUAUGGGCAUACAAAUGCUACCCUAUUUUAAAUGUAGGUGGCGUAUGUGUUCGUGUUUUAAUGUAUUCAGAGCCAUUGGGCAAUAAGCAGUCCAGAACAUUGAAAACUCAAGCAGCAGAGAAAUAAACUGGUAGGUGGCAGCAGAGAAAGAAAUUCUUCAGAUUGAUGACUGCUGACUUAAAAUCUGCAUAGGAGAAGCGAUACAGCAUGACAUUCCAAGUGAAGCAAGGGGGGCAAAGAAUGGAAACAGGACUAAGAUUCCUGGAUUUUGACUCCAAAUGGUUCUUUUGAAGUUACCAGUGAUCCUUUUUGCUCACCUCAUUAACAAGAAGACAGACUCUGUUUUUUCAAAUGGAGAAUAGAAAUACACAGAACAAGGAAAUAAUAGCUGUAACCUGUUUGAUUUAAUGUGUUUUCUAAAAUAAAAACACCAUGAAUUGGAAAUGAAA